rnacentral:rRNA from 1 species
GACGAACGCUGGCGGCGUGCCUAAUACAUGCAAGUUGAGCGCUGAAGGUUGGUACUUGUACCAACUGGAUGAGCAGCGCACGGGUGAGUAACGCGUGGGGAAUCUGCCUUUGAGCGGGGGACAACAUUUGGAAACGAAUGCUAAUACCGCAUAAAAACUUUAAACACAAGUUUUAAGUUUGAAAGAUGCAAUUGCAUCACUCAAAGAUGAUCCCGCGUUGUAUUAGCUAGUUGGUGAGGUAAAGGCUCACCAAGGCGAUGAUACAUAGCCGACCUGAGAGGGUGAGCGGCCACAGUGGGACUGAGACACGGCCCAAACUCCUACGGGAGGCAGCAGUAGGGAAUCGUCGGCAAGGGACGAAAGUCUGACCGAGCAACGCCGCGUGAGUGAAGAAGGUUGUCGGAUCGGAAAACUCGGUUGGUAGAGAAGAACGUUGGUGAGAGUGGAAAGCUCAUCAAGUGACGGUAACUACCCAGAAAGGGACGGCUAACUACGUG